GGGUCAGUAGGUUGGCCGUGCCACCAGUACGUACUGGUCUCACUGAUUCCUCCUUCCUGAAGAACCGUAAUGCCAUUAAUCUGGUGUUGCGGGGAAACAGGACUGUUACUUUGAAAAAAUUAGAGUGUUUAAAGCAAGCUAACGCUUGAAUACAUUAGCAUGGAAUAAUGAAAUAGGACGAUCGAUCCUAUUUUGUUGGUUUCUAGGAUUGACGUA
rnacentral:rRNA from 1 species